rnacentral:rRNA from 1 species
GAUGAACGCUGGCGGCGUGCCUAAUACAUGCAAGUCGAGCGAACAGACGAGGAGCUCGCUCCUCUGACGUUAUCGGCUGACAGAUGAGUAACACGUGGAUAACCUACCUAUAAGACUGGGAUAACUUCGAGAAACCAACGCUAAUACCGACUAAUAUAUUUAACAGAAUGGUACAAUAGUGGAAGAAGAUUUUGCUGUCACUUUUAAAUCUAUCCCCGCCGCAUUAGCUAGUUGGUAAGGUACCGGCUUACCAGGGCAACGAUAGGUAGCCGACCUGAGAGGGUGAUCGGCAAAACGGGACCUGGGACACGGUCCAGACUCCUACGGGAGGCAGCGUGAGGAAUCCUCCCGCAUUGGGCGAAAGCCUGCCGGGGCACCGCGGCGUGAGGGAUGAAGGUUUUCGGUUGGUAAACCUUGGUUAUCAGGAAAGAACAAAUGUGUAAGUAACUAUGCACGCAUUGACGGUACCUAAUCAGAAAGCCACGGCUAACUACGUG